UACGUAGGGGGCAAGUGUUGUCCGGAAUCAUUGGGCGUAAAGCGCGUGUAGGCGGUUCGGUAAGUCUGCUGUGAAAGUCCAGGGCUCAACCCUGGGAUGCCGGUGGAUACUGUCGGACUAGAGUACGGAAGAGGCGAGUGGAAUUCCCGGUGUAGCGGUGAAAUGCGCAGAUAUCGGGAGGAACACCAAUUGCGAAGGCAGCUCGCUGGGACGUUACUGACGCUGAGACGCGAAAGCGUGGGGAGCAAACAGG
rnacentral:rRNA from 1 species